rnacentral:rRNA from 1 species
UACGGGGGGAGCAAGCGUUGUUCGGAUUUACUGGGCGUAAAGGGCGCGUAUGCGGUAGCACAAGUCAGUUGUGAAAUCUCCGGGCUUAACUCGGAAAGGUCAACUGAUACUGUGCGACUAGAGUGCAGAAGGGGCAACUGGAAUUCUCGGUGUAGCGGUGAAAUGCGUAGAUAUCGAGAGGAACACCUGCGGCGAAGGCGGGUUGCUGGGCUGACACUGACGCUGAGGCGCGAAAGCCAGGGGAGCGAACGGG